rnacentral:rRNA from 1 species
GACGAACGCUGGCGGCGUGCUUAACACAUGAAAGUCGAACGGAAAGGCCCUGCUUUUGUGGGGUGCUCGAGUGGCGAACGGGUGAGUAACACGUGAGUAACCUGCCCUUGCCUUUGGGAUAACUUCGGGAAACUGGGGCUAAUACCGGAUAGGAGCUCCUGCUGAAUGGUGGGGGUGGGAAAGUUUCGGCGGUUGGGGAUGGACUCGCGGCUUAUCAGCUUGUUGGUGGGGUAGUGGCUUACCAAGGCUUUGACGGGUAGCCGGCCUGAGAGGGUGACCGGCCACAUUGGGACUGAGAUACGGCCCAGACUCCUACGGGAGGCAGCAGUGGGGAAUAUUGCACAAUGGGCGGAAGCCUGAUGCAGCAACGCCGCGUGCGGGAUGACGGCCUUCGGGUUGUAAACCGCUUUCGCCUGUGACGAAGCGUGAGUGACGGUAAUGGGUAAAGAAGCACCGGCUAACUACGUG